rnacentral:lncRNA from 1 species
UUUCCGAAAGAAGACGUUUUUUUAUUCCUAGAAUACUAAACAGCUAUGAGAUAUAUCCUCUUGGUUGUGGUUGUCCUUGUGGUGCUGGUAGACCAGGCCAAUGGUAACUGUCCCCCAUGUUCCGAAACCACAUGUGUGAGGCCUAAGGGAUGCAGAAGAAGAAACUUCGUAAAAGACACCUGUGGAUGCUGUGAUGUUUGUGGAACUAGAAUCGGGUGACCUUGUUCUGCAAUGACACCAAAGUGCGCAAGGAACAGGUGGUGCAUAAACAUAGUGAAUAAUACCAUGGCGGAGGCCAAGAGACACGUAGUCUUACCUGAUACCUUCGAGGGCGUGUGUGGAAGAAUAAGAGUCUGAAAACCUGAUUAAUACAGUUGUUUCCAUAUCUUGGACCAGAUCUCAGCUCACCACGUAAACAACACACUGUAUUUACACUGAAAUAAGAUUAAAAUAUAACCGAAUCCAA